rnacentral:rRNA from 1 species
CCUACGGGAGGCAGCAGUAGGGAAUAUUGCGCAAUGGGCGAAAGCCUGACGCAGCGACGCCGCGUGGGGGAUGAAGGUCUUCGGAUCGUAAACCUCUGUCAGGAGGGAAGAACGGUCACUGUGCUAAUCAGCAGUGACUUGACGGUACCUGCAAAGGAAGCACCGGCUAACUCCGUGCCAGCAGCCGCGGUAAUACGGAGGGUGCGAGGGUUAAUCGGAAUUACUGGGCGUAAAGCGCUCGUAGGCAGUAUGUCAAGUAAAGGGUGAAAUUCCAGCACUCAACGUGGGAACUGCCUUUGAAACUGGCAAGCUGGAGUGGGUGAGAGGAUAGUGGAAGUCGAGGUGUA